rnacentral:tRNA from 1 species
UGAACAUAACACAAGUGGAUAACGUGAUGGCUCUUGAAGCGAAAGGUACUGGGUUCGAGUCCCAGAGUGAACA